CUUUCCUUCAGGGAAGAGUGAGGAAACGGCUCGGGAAAUCGAGCAAGUCAUGUACCACGAUUGGCGGUUGGUACCCAAGCACGAGGAGGAGGCUUUCACUGCGUUCACUGGGAAAGCAGAGGACAGAUUGAACCUUGUCCCCUACCCACCUCUGCUGCGGGCCAUGAUCCUCGCUGAGCGACAGAAAAACGGGGAUACCAGCGUCGAGGAGCCGCUCCUGAACCUGGAGAGGACUCGAAUGCGCCCCUGGGACUACCCUGCAAAACAGGAGACUAAAGGGAGAGCCAAGGGCACCCCAGUCUAACUGCCAGGAUUGGCAGAGAGGUCCUGUGAGUCAUUUGAUGGACAAGUGUCUUUGACUGUGUCAGAAUCUCCCCUUUGGUGGGGAGACCCUAAAGCCUUGACACAUCUGCCAAUGAAUAAUGGGGCAGAUGACAGAUUGUGAUUUUCAGGCGGCCCCUCGCCGAUUCCUCCGUCUGGAAAUAAACUCCCGAAAUGGCC
rnacentral:lncRNA from 1 species